rnacentral:rRNA from 1 species
AUGGCCAUGAUUGAAACAUAUCAAGUCCAAGACAACAAGACUCUUGCUAGCCUCUGGGAGAAGCGAAUGUACUGGGUGCCGGCCUACUUCAUGCAGUGCUUCUUCCCGUUUCUGCAGACUACGCAGUGUAGCGAGGGGUUCAAUGCUGUUUUGAAGCGGUAUGUGAGCCCUGGCAACUCAUUGCUACAGUUUGCCAAGCAGUACACAGCUUUGCAACAAAAAAUACUGGGAUCUGAGCUACAGCAAGAAGCGAACACCGCGCUAAAGCAGCCAAAAUUGCUAAUGUAUUUACUGAUGGAGAGGCAAAUGAGCAAGAUAUACACCAACAAGAUCUUUAACAAGUAA